AGUCAAAAGCUGGGAGGGACCCAGAGCAGGUUUGGUGGUGCUUGGUUUGGUUUGACUGUUGGGAGAAAUGGCCUGGAAAAAAUAAUUCCUUUUUUGCAAGGAGGCAGUUUACAAAGACAGGUGGAUUGCUUUUAACAACAAUAAUCAACUCGGGAUGUAUAGGGUGAGGAAACCUUUGCUCUAUGUAGGCUUGAGAAAAGGUAGGAAGGCAUCUGUGCCUGUUACCUGUGUGUAUCUGGGAAAGUGGCUCUAGUGAAACUGAAGCUGCUAGUGAGCCAAAAAAAAGCAGGGUUGUCUUGAAAAUGCAAAAGCUCUAGUGGCCCAUAUGCACAGCUGUGCCAGAGGUGAUGCCAAAUAGUUUUUCCUUCACUCGGCUGUGGUCUUUGCAAACCUUCACAAAGGAAGUUUUUUGCUCUAUGCUAAAGGGUUUUUUCCUUUCUCAGCAGAAUGUCAACUGCCACUGUUUCUCCAGGGUUGCCCUUUCUUCUGCUGCAACAGCACAGGACAGAUGGAAAGGAUCUGGAGUGCUCUGCGAGUACAAGGCCUUGCCGUGAAGCAUCAGCAGCCUCGUCACUAGUGAUGGCCAGCCCUGAUGUGGUUUUAGUCAGUCUUCACUCUUUCCUUUUGAAGAUGGCUUCCUAGAUGGCAGUCAUGGUGAUCAGUCUUUAUCAUCAUGGUGAAAAAGUGGAACACAAUUCUAGACAGAUGCUUGUUGGAGGUCUUCCUCCUGACAUUGAUGAAGAUGAGAUCACUGACAGCUUUCAUAGGUUUGGACCUCUUGUGAUGGACUGAAAACAAGUCAUAUUUUCCACCUAAAGGGUUGGCUGAGAGCAGUCCACCAGGAAGGCACACGGGUGCUGUGUCUCACUGAAUUUCCACGUGGUAGAGCCAGGGUCUUGGCUUGAGGAAAGGAAAGCUUUCCGAAGCACCAUUUCAUCUUUGAACAGCUAAUAAUAGCCAACUAUAAAAGCACGUAACUAGUUAUCACCUGCUAAUAAUAGUCCACUGUAAAAGCAGCACCUGG